AACGAACGCUGGCGGCAUGCCUAACACAUGCAAGUCGAACGAGACCUUCGGGUCUAGUGGCGUCCGGGUGCGUAACGCGUGGGAACCUGCCCUUAGGUUCGGACUAACUCUCCGACAGGGGUGCUAAUACCGGAUAAUGUCUUCGGACCAAAGAUUUAUCGAAUUUGGAUGGGCCCGCGUUGGAUUAGCUAGUUGGUAGGCUAAAAGACUACCAAGGCGACGAUCCAUAGCUGGUCUGAGAGAAUGAUCAGCCACACUGGGACUGAGACACGGCCCAGACUCCUACGGGAGGCAGCAGUGGGGAAUAGUGCACAGUGGGCGAAAGCCUGAUCCAGCAAGGACGCGUGAGUUAUGAAGGCCUUAGGGUUGUAAAGCGCUAUUAACCGUGAUGAUAAUGACAGUACCUGGAGAAUAAGCUCCGGCUAACUCCGUG
rnacentral:rRNA from 1 species